rnacentral:rRNA from 1 species
UUUUAAAUGAAGACCUGUAUGAAUGGCAUCACGAGGGCUUAACUGUCUCCUUCCCCCAGUCAAUGAAAUUGAUCUCCCCGUGCAGAAGCGGGGAUAGACCCAUAAGACGAGAAGACCCUAUGGAGCUUCAGAUACAAGUUCAGCCCAUGUUAAUGACCUUAAUUAAAAGAAUAAACCAAUUGAAUCCUGUCCUAGUAUCUUUGGUUGGGGCGACCAUGGAGUAUAACAAAACCCCCAUGAGGUAUGAACAUAAAAUGUUUCAACUAAGAGUGACAACUCUAAGCAACAGAACCUCUGACCUUAAGAUCCGGCAUGCCGAUCAACGAACCGAGUUACCCUAGGGAUAACAGCGCAAUCCCCUUUUAGAGCCCACAUCGACAAGGGGGUUUACGACCUCGA